ACGUGGGGGAUUACUACUCGAAAGAGGAGCUAAUACCGAAUACGAUCUGAUCGAUGAAAGCAGGGGACCUUCGGACCUCACGCGAUUGGAGCGGACGAUGGUAGAUUAAGUAGUUGGUGGGAUAAAAGCUUACCAAGCCGACUAUCUGUAGCUGGUCUGAGAGGACGACCACCCACACUGGGACUGAGACACGGUCCAGACUCCUACGGCAUGCAGCAGUGGGGAAUUUUGGACAAUGGUCGAAAGCCUGAUCCAGCGAUGCCGCGUGCACGAUGAGGGCCUUCGGGUUGUGAACUGCUUUUGUACGGAACGAAAAACCUUCUCCUAAUACGAGAGGCCCAUGACGGUACCGUAAUACUAGGCACCGACUAAUUACGUGCCAGCAGCCGCGGAAAAACGUAGGGUGUGAGCGUUAAUCUGAAUUACUGGCCGUAAAGCGAGCGUAGGCGGCUAUGUGAGACAGAUGUGAACUCUCCGGUUUCAUCCUGGGAAUUGCAUUUGUGACUGCAUGGCUAGAGUACGGUAGAGGGGGAUGGAAUUCCGCGUGUAGCAGUGAAAUGCGUAGAUAUGCGGAGGAACACCGA
rnacentral:rRNA from 1 species